CUCCAGGGCAUUUUAUCUAUUUAAAAAGUAGAUGGUGAACUGCCAGGAGACCACAGCCUUGCUGAAGGCAGUCCAAUAUAAUGCUCAAACAGGCAAGCUUCUUAAUCUCUUAUGUAAAAUAAAAGUAAAGGUACUUUACUCUUAAAAUUAUAUUAUCAGCUGCUUAGUGAUUGUGUGGUGUGAAAAUAUAUGUCCUCAACCAAUAUGACUCCUCUGCUCAAAACUUUAGAAAGAUUAGCUUUAUGGAGAUUGUAUCCUGGUGUUUAAAGUUUUAUUCCAAACUUGUCACUUAGACCUUUCAAAGUCUCAGCAGAAAUUCUUGCUUUGUAGCCUCUGUCAUCACUGGUAUACCACGCCCACUCCUAAGAAACCCAAAUGUGAAUAGAACUCUUGAUCCAUCUCUUCUCAUAGCCAGGCCCAUCUUGAGGCCAGCCUCCUUGUCCAGU
rnacentral:lncRNA from 1 species